CAUUAUGAAGCUUAAAGCGUUAACCUUUUAAGUUAAAGUGAGGAAGUACUACUUCCCAUAAUGA
rnacentral:tRNA from 1 species